rnacentral:rRNA from 1 species
UACGGGGGGGGCAAGCGUUGUUCGGAAUUACUGGGCGUAAAGGGCUCGUAGGCGGCCAACUAAGUCAGACGUGAAAUCCCUCGGCUCAACCGGGGAACUGCGUCUGAUACUGGGCGGCUUGAAUUCGGGAGAGGGAUGCGGAAUUCCAGGUGUAGCGGUGAAAUGCGUAGAUAUCUGGAGGAACACCGGUGGCGAAGGCGGCAUCCUGGACCGAGAUUGACGCUGAGGCGCGAAAGCCAGGGGAGCAAACGGG